UACGGAGGGGGCUAGCGUUGUUCGGAAUUACUGGGCGUAAAGCGCACGUAGGCGGCUUUGUAAGUUAGAGGUGAAAGCCCGGAGCUCAACUCCGGAACUGCCUUUAAGACUGCAUCGCUAGAACGUCGGAGAGGUAAGUGGAAUUCCGAGUGUAGAGGUGAAAUUCGUAGAUAUUCGGAAGAACACCAGUGGCGAAGGCGACUUACUGGACGACUGUUGACGCUGAGGUGCGAAAGCGUGGGGAGCAAACAGGAUUAGAAACCCCUGUAGUCC
rnacentral:rRNA from 1 species